CUUAGCCCUUAGCACGCCCUUGGUAUUUAAAGGCUUAUUUUCUUCUUUGUUUUUCUCUCUCAGGGAAAGACAAAUGGCUCCUAUUUAUGAGUCCUCAUUGCGUGCAGUCAGGGUCGCUGUGAAGAGCUGCCGAGGCCGUGGCUGAUCACGUAGAAUGCGAAGAGCACCUUGUAGAAUUGUGUAAGGUGCCAGCCACUCGGCUGACUGCUUGUUUCCUCCUUGCAAUGAGCCCCAGGGAACUUUGUGGGACUGAAGUGUGUGUGGCGGGGGAGAGCCAGUGGCUCUGGUUUGGCAAGAUUGCUGCAUUCCCGAGUUCCUGAGACAUUUGCAUCGAAUUAACUCUGAAAUUUCAAGGUCGUGACCCAGGAGAGGAUGCCUGACCCAGGAAUGAAAACUGGAAGAGCUUUGAACAUCUAUCAACAUGUUUCUUGACAGGCCCUUGGACCCGGCCUUCUAUUUCCAGGUCUGUGAUGCUGUCUCUGUGAUGGUGAGGAGGUGGCCCCUGAUUAAAGCAGUGUGGACCCAAGACAGAUUGUCCAUGGGCUGGUCAACAACUUAGGAGGUGUCAGGCACGAAGCCUUGCCCAGCUGGCAUCAUAGGCUCACCUCAGGACCAGAUAUACUCUUCCCUUUGCUGUGAGGAAGUGGGGAGUCUCAGUUCAGUUCAGUCGCUCAGUCGU
rnacentral:lncRNA from 1 species